AGCCUGAGGGUUUUGGGCGUGGUGCCUAGAUCAGCCCAGGAAUUGCCUGCAAGCAUCCAAGAGGAGCACCGCACUACUUGUGGGUGAAGCUGUGUCCUAUUUGGAUACUCGCCAGGAUACAGAGAAAUUCUGCUAUAUAAACCUAUGUCAGGAGCUGGAAAAUCAGUUCUCUGGCGAGUUCUUCAACCAGCCUCAUGAAGUCUCCAACCAUGCAACUCAACAACCUAGACUCUGCCAUGAAGGUUCCAACUCUGCAUUAACAACUCUCUUGUGAAGUUCAACUUCUAAACAGUUAUCACACACAUUCAUCGUUGAUUAGUGGUUCUUACCUAGAAACUUGUCAAUUUUGAAUGCUUAUAUACUGUACAAAAUGCAAACCAACCAGCCAGCACUGCCACAGAAGUCCUUCAGAAUGUACCUGAU